rnacentral:RNase_P_RNA from 1 species
CCAGACGGUCGGAUGGCCGCGGCCGAUCCUUUCGGGGAUCGGGCGAGGAAAGUCCGGGCUCCACGGAAAGACGGUGCCGGGUAACGCCCGGCGGGGGUGACCCCCGAGACAGUGCCACAGAGAAGUAGACCGCCGGCCGGCUUCGGCCUGCCGGCAAGGGUGAAAAGGUGCGGUAAGAGCGCACCGCGGGCCCAGCAAUGGGACCGGCACGGCAAACCUCACCGGGAGCAAGACCGAAUAGGGACGGCGACGGUGCCUCACGGCACCUUACGGCGUUUUCCGCGCUGCCGUCCGGGUUGGUUGCUCGAGGCGCCCCGCAAGGUGCGCCCUAGAGGAAUGGCCAUCGCCGCGGGCAACCGCGGUACAGAACCCGGCUUACAGACCGUCUGGCAUC